UACAGGGGAUGCAAGUGUUAUUCGGAAUCAUUGGGCGUAAAGCGUCUGUAGGUGGACAUAUAAGUCUUUUGUUAAAUCUUUAGACUCAACCUAAAAUGUGCAAAAGAAACUAUUUGUCUUGAGUUAGGGAGAGGUAAAGGGAAUUUCCAGUGGAGCGGUGAAAUGCGUAGAUAUUGGAAGGAACACCAGUGGCGAAGGCACUUUACUGGACCUAUACUGACACUGAGAGACGAAAGCUAGGGGAGCAAACAGG
rnacentral:rRNA from 1 species